UAUUAGAAAAUUCAAAACCACAUGCAAAACUUCUGUUAUAUUUCUAUCGGAAGCACGAAGGGUGAAGCGGGUAUCUGAAAUGAUUCUGGGUCCCCGCCCAGGAGACAGCCCGUGAUAAUGGUGAGAAUGGAACACAGCUCCAGCUUCCUGGAUGCAGGUUAUCCAAUGAGGAUAUUUCACUGGAGGGACAGACCUAGAACUGGAGGCUAAUCCAUGGAGGCAGAGGCAGUGAAGUCAUGGGACAGAGCGUGAGGAGCCCAGGAGAGAAGGGAAUCGUUUCAAAGAAUACCCCUAACGAAAGGAACAAAAUAAAGGGAGGAAGAAAGAGUUGUCUGUGUCCUACAAAACCAUUGGAAAGGAAUCCAUCCUCAUAUCUGGUGAGUAAGGUAAACCAAGGCCCUGACAUCAAGAUGCUUAAACUCUGCUCAACGUUACCAGCAAUGAACAAGAAAACAACAAGGCAGUCUACUUUUUUUAAGUUUAUUUAAUUAUUGUGAGAGAGAGAGAGAACAAGCGCUCGGGAGCAGGGAAGGGGCAGAGAGAGAAUCCCAAGCAGGCUCCACGCCAUGAGCACAGAGCCCGAUGCGAGCCUCCAACCCACGAUCUGUGAGAUCAGGACCUGAGCGGAAGCCAAGAGUUGGGACGCUUAACCGACUGAGCCACCCAGGCGCCCCCAGGAGAUUGCACUUUUAAAUAUUAGGUGUAACGAGGGGUGGGGGACACUGCUUUAGAUGGAGAGGUGGGUGUGGCCUCUAGGAGGAGGUGCUAUUGAAGCAGAGGCUUUUUUUUCCCUAAAGUUUACUUAUUUUUGAGAGAGAGGGAGACAGAGCGCAAGCAGAGGAGGGUCAGAGAGAGAGGGAGACACCAAAUCCGAAGCAGGCUCCAGGUUCUGAGCUGUCAGCAGAGCCCAAUGCGGGGCUGGAACUCACAAACCGUGACAUCAUGACCUGAGCUAAAGUUGGACGCUCAACGGACUGAGCCACCCAGGCGCCCCUGAAGACUUUAACGAUGGGAAGGAGGAGCAUGAGACGCUAGAAUGUAACAAGUUCUAGGAGGAUCAAAGAGGCUGGUGUGGCUGGAAUAGAGUAAGGUGGGGGAGGGUCGGGUCCAGAUCAUUCCACACAUACCAGGGGAAGCCAGAAGAGGGUCAAGAGUAGAGGCUGGAAACAGUGCGGGAGGUGGGGACAGCACUGUCAUAGGAUGGCAGAGGGAAGCUGGGGCUGUGGGCUCGGACUGAAGUGUGCCUCUCUGGGUCCCCAGGGCCAAGACAGGUGUUCCGUUCUGAGUAGGUGCCUGGGAACCCAGAGUCCUGACCCGCGUCCUGCCACUGUUGGCUACCUCCAUGCCUUUCAUACACUGACCCUUCGCUAUUUACUUCCCCAUCAGGGUCCAACAUGGUUU